rnacentral:rRNA from 1 species
GAUUAACGCUGGCGGCGUGCAUAACACAUGCAAGUCGAACGAUGAAACUUAAAUGAUUUCUUCGGAAUGAACUUAAGUGGAUUAGUGGCGGACGGGUGAGUAACGCGUGAGUAACCUGCCUUACACAAGGGGAUAGCCGUUGGAAACGACGAAUAAUACCCUAUGAAACUAUCACUUCGCAUGAAGCGAUAGUCAAAGUGUUAGCGGUGUAAGAUGGACUUGCGUCUGAUUAGCUAGUUGGUGAGAAAAAAGCCCACCAAGGCAACGAUCAGUAGCCGGCUUGAGAGAGUGUACGGCCACAUUGGGACUGAGACACGGCCCAGACUCCUACGGGAGGCAGCAGUGGGGAAUUUUGCACAAUGGGGGAAACCCUGAUGCAGCGACGCCGCGUGAUUUAGAAGGCCUUCGGGUUGUAAAAAUCUUUUGUAUAGGAAGAAAAUGACAGUACUAUACGAAUAAGGUUCGGCUAAUUACGUG